AUGUGUGAAGAGAGAGAAGGGUGGACAGAGAGGAAACAGGUUGAGAGGAAAGUUUAUGUGGGUGUUAGGGGGUAUCAUCGGCGGCAGGCAAAGUUGAAGUUGGAGAGGAAAAGGGAGAUUCAGACGGAUAAUGCUGAAGUUUAUAACAUGUUAUCUUCCAAAGAUGAGGCUCCGGGUCAAUAUUGGCAGCCGAUAAGCAGAAUUAGAGAGUUUCUUGCAACUCGAUGA